GCCUAUUGGUUUUCAUCAUGAAGGCACUCAUCCUUGUAGGAGGUUUUGGAACAAGGCUGAGGCCACUGACCCUCAGCGUGCCAAAGCCGCUGGUUGACUUUGCUAACAAGCCCAUGAUACUUCAUCAGAUUGAAGCACUAAAAGCUAUUGGAGUGACCGAAGUAAUUUUGGCAAUUAACUAUCAGCCAAAGAUAAUGCAAAACUUCCUGAAAGAGUUCGAAAAAAAGUUAGAUAUCAAGAUCACUUGCUCACAAGAGACAGAGCCUUUAGGCACAGCAGGGCCACUGGCUUUAGCUCGUGAUAUAUUGAGAGAUGACUCUGGUGAACCCUUUUUCGUCCUCAAUAGUGAUGUUAUAUGUGACUAUCCAUUGAAAGAAUUGAUUUUGUUUCAUAAGUCCCACGGCGGAGAAGCUUCCAUUAUGGUGACGAAGGUUGAUGAACCAUCAAAAUAUGGUGUAGUGGUCAUGGAAGAAGCGACUGGGAGAGUUG
rnacentral:misc_RNA from 1 species